rnacentral:rRNA from 1 species
CCUACGGGAGGCAGCAGUGAGGAAUAUUGGUCAAUGGACGAGAGUCUGAACCAGCCAAGUAGCGUGAAGGAUGACUGCCCUAUGGGUUGUAAACUUCUUUUAUAUGGGAAUAAAAUGUUCCACGUGUGGGAUUUUGUAUGUACCAUAUGAAUAAGGAUCGGCUAACUACGUGCCAGCAGCCGCGGUAAUACGGAGGAUCCGAGCGUUAUCCGGAUUUAUUGGGUUUAAAGGGAGCGUAGGUGGAUUGUUAAGUCAGUUGUGAAAGUUUGCGGCUCAACCGUAAAAUUGCAGUUGAAACUGGCAGUCGUGAGUACAGUAGAGGUGGGCGGAAUUCGUGGUGUAGCGGUGAAAUGCUUAGAUAUCACGAAGAACUCCGAUUGCGAAGGCAGCUCACUGGACUGCAACUGACACUGAGGCUCGAAAGUGUGGGUAUCAAACAGGAUUAGAUACCCCAGUAGUC